AUACAGAGGGUGCGAGCGUUAAUCGGAAUUACUGGGCGUAAAGCGCGCGUAGGCGGCUUAUUAAGUCAGAUGUGAAAUCCCCGGGCUCAACCUGGGAACUGCAUCUGAUACUGGUAAGCUAGAGUUUUGGAGAGGGAAGUAGAAUUUCAGGUGUAGCGGUGAAAUGCAUAGAGAUCUGAAGGAAUACCAGUGGCGAAGGCGACUUCCUGGCCAAAAACUGACGCUGAGGUGCGAAAGCGUGGGUAGCAAACGGGAUUAGAAACCCGAGUAGUCC
rnacentral:rRNA from 1 species